rnacentral:rRNA from 1 species
GGGCCCGCACAAGCGGUGGAGCAUGUGGUUUAAUUCGAUGAUACGCGAGGAACCUUACCAGGGCUUAAAUGUAGUUUGACCGGUCUGGAAACAGACUUUCUCUUCGGAGCAGAUUACAAGGUGCUGCAUGGUUGUCGUCAGCUCGUGCCGUGAGGUGUUAGGUUAAGUCCUGCAACGAGCGCAACCCCUAUUCUUAGUUGCCAGCGGUUCGGCCGGGGACUCUAAGAAGACUGCCAGCGCAAGCUGAGAGGAAGGUGGGGAUGACGUCAAAUCAUCACGGCCCUUACGUCCUGGGCUACACACGUGCUACAAUGGUAGAGACAGAGGGCAGCCACCUGGUGACAGGGAGCGAAUCCUUAAAAGCCAUCUCAGUUCGGAUUGGGGUCUGCAACUCGACCCCAUGAAGUCGGAAUCGCUAGUAA